UACGAAGGGUGCAAACGUUGCUCGGAAUCAUUGGGCGUAAAGCGCACGUAGGCGCCUUGCAAGUCGGAUGUGAAAUCCCACGGCUCAACCGUGGACGUGCAUCCGAAACUGCUCGGCUCGAGUAUGGAAGAGGGUCGCGGAAUUCCCGGUGUAGAGGUGAAAUUCGUAGAUAAUCGGGAGGAACACCAGUGGCGAAGGCGGCGACCUGGGCCAAUACUGACGCUG
rnacentral:rRNA from 1 species